rnacentral:lncRNA from 1 species
GAUAGUAGACUCAUUAUCUCACGUCCUCAUGUACACUAGUGUAAUACUUGUAGAGAUCUCUAUAUGGAUUGGAUUUGACAUUGAGGCGUCCCCCAACGAUAAUCACAAUUCAGACUUCAUGAGACGGAUUUGAGUAUCACUGAUCAAUGGAUCAGGUUGUGCCAAUCUCACUUUCUUCCUAGUGCGAGAAUAUAUCGAACCUAAGGGCCUCCCUCCUUUUAGGGAGCCACACGGCCUUGUGACACCAAUUUUGCCACUAUAUGGCGUCACCAUAUCACCAUCCAUGGUGAUGGCGCCAAGACCAACUUCUUUUGGUCGCGCCAUGUCCUUUUGUAGGACAUCAAUCCUUGCAGACAGAUUUGCAGCAUGUGAUCUCGUCACUUUAACACUAUAAGCAUUUGGGAUCAAGAUGAGACUUAGUGGGGACAAACCACGACAAUUCACGUCGUUCCACUUGAACACUUGUGUUCUUAUCUCCCCCUAACGGCGGGAAUAUUGUCUCAUCAAAGUGAGAAUCCGCAAUUUAGCGGUGAAUGAGAUCGCCUGACAAGGUUUCUACAUAUGCGGAUUAUAGGUGGAGGUUCAUAUCCAACCUAAACUUAUUCAUCUCAAAUGACCAAUCAUUGUACGCAAUGGCAAUGCGAUUUGGCAUCUAGAAAUAACAUCUAGCCGAGCUCAAGGAUUGGAGAUCCGUUUCAAUCUUGCCGAGCUCAAGGAUUGCAAUUUCGUGUCAAUCCUGGUACACAGUCACGAGCUGUAGUACAACAAAAUUUAAUGAUGGUGGGUCGUAGAUGAAUAGUAAAGCUGCAUGCAAAUAUUGCAUAGCCCCAAGACGCAAUAGAAAGAGUGGUGCGCAUCAAUAAUGUUCGAGCGACAAGCUAAAGUUGCUUGGUCGUAGCCUCGGUGAGACCGUAUUGCGUGUGAACAUGGGGCACAGGACACUUCAACUUACAUCCCGAUAAACUUCUUUAAAAAUGGGUAGUGAGCCCGUAGAAGUAUAAGCAGCAUAAGCAGUAGAUAAUAGUGUAACACGUGACCAGUGUGUUAACACUUCAACC